GCCGCCUUAGCUCAGUUGGUAGAGCAUCGCAUUCGUAAUGCGGGGGUCACAGGUUCGAGUCCUGUAGGCGGCA
rfam:Gossypium hirsutum cultivar TM-1 scaffold6996.1_1, whole genome shotgun sequence